AGGAGUGUCCAUCCACAUGUUUUAUACUCCUACCUAUCUUCCUCAUCCUCCAUCUUGCCACAUCUUUUCUUUUGGACGUCAAUGACUUUGGUGACCCUUCCAAGUUUGAAUCAGUGUAAAAGAAUUGGGUCCUAUCAGAUCCAUCCUCUCCUGCAGGCUGUGAUCCCGCUUCUCUCCACUAGAAAUCUCGAUUCUAAUCAGUUUUCAAGUUCUUGCCAUGGAGUAAUCUAACAUCUACUUUCAAUCCAGCAGAUGAAUUUGUCCCAGCAUAGUUGAUGCAGCGGAGUUGUACCAACGACAGUUUGAGGCAUGCACAUGUCUCCUGCAGGACUCUCCGCCUUAAUUCCAUAGAAGAAAAACUUAUCCCUAAAAGGCCCACCGUCAUGCCCACAGGCUAUGGUUUCCUUCUGUUCGUCGUGUCUCCCGACCGGAUCAUCAUCGAGCGUUCCCUACAGCCUCUCUUGAUUCCAUCCAUGCUGGAAUCAAUCAAAAAGACAGAGUUCUGUUCUCGGCAGAAUCGAUCAAGAAAGGUAUCGAUUGGCUGAUGUGUACAUGAGUGUACUAGCCUCUGGACGUCAACUUGCUUCAUCGUCACCGUCAAAUUAAUCAAACACCUACUUUUAGGCUGCUAAUGAAGUGCGUGCCAGUUCUAUUCUCGGCGGAAUCAAUUAAGAAAGGUAUCGAUUGGCUGAUGUGUACAUGAGUGUACUAGCUUCUGGACGUCAACUUGCUUCGUCAUCACCGCCGUACGCACUCGAGCUGGCAUUGUCUUACACAAACACUACACGUGAUUAUGUUCCUCUCCAAUCAUUGAAAUCUGGAAUCUCAUUAGCUUUCAAUUUCUUGACAUGCAGAAAUUAAUCAAACACCUACUUUUAGGCUGCUAAUGAUUUUAUCCAAUGAAGGUUGAUAUAGAGAAGUAAGCGUACCAUCCAAUAUUAGAAACAUAUUGGACGUCCCUCACAGUCGACAAGGCUGCCGAGCUAAGAGCUGUGGUAGACUGGUGGUGGAGAUGUUUACUUGCUGGACACUGUUCGAUUUUGUCACUGCAUCCACUUGGCAAGUAACUCAGAACCCUUGAACCUCCUACUCAUAAUUUUACUCAUAUAGUUUAUCUUUAAUACUCUGUCCACAGGGUUGACUCUAGCUUUGCAAUUUUGACGGCAGAUUUGUGGCAAGUGCAAUGCAUGUGUAGGUAAAUUGGCUGGACUAAUACUGAUUUCUUCCAUCUAUUGAUGUUUUGAAAACAGAAAAAUGGGGCCGGUGCACAUUGUGGGCAAGCAUUGACAGCUCAUAUUGUUGGUGUGUGAUAACAGUUACUUCAGGGUAUUUACGUUAACAUUUUGAAACAUUUUACAUACAUCUAAUAUUAUGAGUUCUCGAAUGGUAUAGAAAAUGGACUGACAUAUCAUGGUUUUGCGUACAGAAACUUUGACUUGAUUCGAGGACUAAGCAUUCAACAUGAUUCAGUUUUUAGUCCAUGCAUAUUGUUCAUUUGAGAAGUUACUAGAUGAACUCAAAGAACAUUCUAUAGUUAGCGAGCAAGCACACCGAAGCGCAUAAAUCAUAGAGUUUUUAAGGAAAUCUAGAACAACAUUUUACUGGACUAUAUAGUGCAUUAGUUUUUCUUUACGUUUAGAAUGUUAUCUUGGAUUUUAAUUAAAUGGCAGUCUAGAAUUUUUAACAAGGCACACGUUAUAUUCUGCAGAUUUUAUAUUUUAGAUAGGAUACUAUGAGGGACUACUCAGUUUUCAUUUCUUUCGGGCAUACACAUCUUCACUAUUACAAAUGAAACAUGCAGCUACAACAAGUUUGAUAUUACACAAUUAUCACAGUUUUCUAACAGUGUGCCUAUGUUUAGUUGCGGUCACGCUUUUCUGAGACCAAGUUCCAUAUUCUCCACUCUUCUCCCACGAUAGAAUGUGCUUAAUUUCUCUAGAUAAACAAAUGAAGAUGUCUCUUUAUGUCUAUUCCUCUGAUACGAUGACAUAAUGCAUAUAAACCACACAUAUGUACCAGCUAGAGGCACUUCUCUUUCUGCCAAAGAGUUAACCUACUUCUCUUUCCGUCAAAGAUUAACCUACAAUUACGACACCUCCUGGCCCCAGGGUUAUUGCACAUAUUAACCUAUAUUAUUAGAAAUAGGGAGCUUACUCAUUAUAACCAAUCACUCCAAGCUUUCUUUUGCAUGGUUGUCACAUUAUUUUAUUUAUUACAAAGCAUUAGGUUUACAAUAUAGUCUUAUUACUGAUAUUUUGUGUAAUUUUGUUAUUCAAGAUUGAAUAAGUACACAUAUAUUAACAUUUACGAUAAGCAUACAAAAUAUAAAAAUGGGGUGUUACAUCUUUUACUUAUAUAUCCAUGGAAAUGUGUAAAUUAAGAGUUUCUAUCACCAAAGUGCAUUUAUAUAUGUUGUUCAUAAUAUAUCUCUUUUUAUAAACUAUGAUCAUAAUAUAUCUGAUUUCACACAAAAAGUAAUAAAAACAUAAAAUCAAAUCUAUAUAUAGCUAGCCCGUGCGAAUGCAUGGGUUGACGACUAGUUAUGAUAAUUGCUCUUUGAUAGAUUGUAUUUCCUUGUUGCAAUACGUGCUAAAUUCUCCUCAUCCCUAUAG